CCCUGGUAGUUCAACUGGUAUAGAAUCUGCCUGCAACGCAGGAGACCCUGGUUCAAUUCCUGGGUCAGGAA
rnacentral:tRNA from 1 species